AUCAAGUAUAAUUUAUAUUGCUAUCAUUUUCCCAAAAUCGAAACUGUAUAACAAUGCAUAUAAACAACAUAAAUGAAUAAAGAACAUCUUACCAUAAACUUGGUAAAUUAAGAAUAAUACUGUCUUGACAUUGAGGAUAACACGAAAUGUACCCAAUAGUCCCAACAAAAGCGUAUACACAUGACACACCAAUCAUGACAACAUUAAUUACAAGCGGUAACUGCUUCGGUUUCCUCGAUUUAUUUUCGACUGAAAGAAUCUUAAAACAAAAAGGAAGGUAUCAUUUGCCAGAUAAGGACUUGCAUGAUCUUUAUUGAUACGAAAAGGUAAAUUAAUUUUAUAAACUCAACACCAUAACGCACGAUUAUAUUCCAAACCUGGAUUACCUUUUUUAGAUACACCUUGUAGAUUCUACAUGGUAUAUUAAAUAUUAAAUACUGGUUACGUUCAUAAAUUACACAAUGGACUAACUAUGCAUCCAGUUUACUCUGCCUGGCAAAACGUUUGCUAUUUCCUCAUUCAAUUUUCAUCCAAAUUUAGUCUUUACUUUUCAUCCAAAUUUAGUUAUCUGCAAAAAUUUUUCACUAGGGCACUUUCUUUCCAGCAAAAGAGAGCGUUCAUUCAAGAAACACUUUUUUCGUUCUUUAAAUGGGGCAUUUUAGUUCAGAAAAUAAGGGCACUUUUUUCACUUUUAAAAAAGUGUGGGGCACUGGCC